rnacentral:rRNA from 2 species
CUGAGUGGCGAACGGGUGAGUAACACGUGGGUAACCUGCCCCAAAGCGGGGGAUAACAUUUGGAAACAGAUGCUAAUACCGCAUAACCACAGAAACCACAUGGUUUCUGUGUCAAAGAUGGUUUCGGCUAUCACUUUGGGAUGGACCCGCGGCGUAUUAGCUAGUUGGUAAGGUAAUGGCUUACCAAGGCAAUGAUACGUAGCCGAACUGAGAGGUUGAUCGGCCACAUUGGGACUGAGACACGGCCCAAACUCCUACGGGAGGCAGCAGUAGGGAAUCUUCCACAAUGGACGAAAGUCUGAUGGAGCAACGCCGCGUGAGUGAAGAAGGUUUUCGGAUCGUAAAACUCUGUUGUCAGAGAAGAACGUGUGCGAGAGUAACUGUUCGUGCAGUGACGGUAUCUGGCCAGAAAGCCACGGCUAACUACGUGCCAGCAGCCGCGGUAAUACGUAGGUGGCAAGCGUUGUCCGGAUUUAUUGGGCGUAAAGGGAACGCAGGCGGUCUUUUAAGUCUGAUGUGAAAGCCUUCGGCUUAACCGAAGUCGUGCAUU